rnacentral:rRNA from 1 species
UACGUAGGGUGCGAGCGUUUAAUCGGAAUUACUGGGCGUAAAGCGUGCGUAGACGGUUAUUUAAGUCGGGUGUGAAAGCCCCGGGCUCAACCUGGGAAUUGCAUUCGAGACUGAAUAGCUAGGGUACGGUAGAGGGAAGCGGAAUUUCCGGUGUAGCGGUGAAAUGCGUAGAUAUCGGAAGGAACAUCAGUGGCGAAAGCGGCUUCCUGGACCAGUACCGACGUCAGGCACGAAAGCGUGGGGAGCAAACAGG